GAUGAACGCUGGCGGUGUGCCUAAUACAUGCAAGUCGAGCGAACAGACGAGGAGCUUACUCCUCUGACGUUAGCGGCGGACGGGUGAGUAACACGUGGAUAACCUACCUAUAAGACUGGGAUAACUUCGGGAAACCGGAGCUAAUACCGGAUAACAUGUUGAACCGCAUGGUUCAACAGUGAAAGACGGUCUUGCUGUCACUUAUAGAUGGAUCCGCGUCGCAUUAGCUAGUUGGUAAGGUAACGGCUUACCAAGGCAACGAUGCGUAGCCGACCUGAGAGGGUGAUCGGACACACUGGAACUGAGACACGGUCCAGACUCCUACGGGAGGCAGCAGUAGGGAAUCUUCCGCAAUGGGCGAAAGCCUGACGGAGCAACGCCGCGUGAGUGAAGAAGGUCUUCGGAUCGUAAAGCUCUGUUAUUAGGGAAGAACAAAUGUGUAAGUAACUAUGCACGUCUUGACGGUACCUAAUCAGAAAGCCACGGCUAACUACGUG
rnacentral:rRNA from 1 species